rnacentral:rRNA from 1 species
UACGUAGGGUGCAAGCGUUGUCCGGAAUUAUUGGGCGUAAAGAGCUCGUAGGCGGUCUGUUGCGUCGGCUGUGAAAACCCGAGGCUCAACCUCGGGCCUGCAGCCGAUACGGGCAGACUAGAGUUCGGCAGGGGAGACUGGAAUUCCUGGUGUAGCGGUGAAAUGCGCAGAUAUCAGGAGGAACACCGGUGGCGAAGGCGGGUCUCUGGGCCGAUACUGACGCUGAGGAGCGAAAGCCGUGGGGAGCGAACAGG